rnacentral:rRNA from 1 species
UACAUGGGGUGCAAACGUUGCUCGGAAUUAUUGGGCGUAAAGCGCACGUAGGUGGUCUGUUAUGUCAGAUGUGAAAGCCCUCGGCUUAACUGAGGAAGUGCACCUGAAACUGGCAGGCUUGAGUACGAAAGAGGGUCGCGGAAUUCCCGGUGUAGAGGUGAAAUUCGUAGAUAUCAGGAGGAACACCGGUGGCGAAGGCGGCUUUCUGGACAGAAACUGACGCUGAUGCGCGAAAGCUAGGGGAGCAAACAGG